UUGCAUCAUCAUCAACUCCUACAGACUUCACGUGAUCCUCCUUUAGAGCUGACUUCUGAGCUGCACUUGAGUUCAAACACACGACUCAUUACUGCUGUCAUUCAUAACCAGCAUUAUUUAUAUUUGGUGAUUGUAUUGAGAAUGCAUCAACUCAUUUAACAUUCAGUUUGACUUACUUUGCAGAAUCCUGCUGUUCUGAUGGAGUCGCCAUAUAAUACACCUGACAAUUUCACACUCUACACACACACAUACUUGAAUAAGUGUAAUGUAAAUCUUUUUUUUACCAAUAAUUUUCCAUUAUUUUCUCUGUCAUAUGUGAUCACUGGAUAAGGAUUUUAAGAAUCAUUGUGUAGAGACUGCACUCUCAGUGACAAUUUUAAACCGAUUACAUGUUUUUUUUUUGAGCCGAGUAUGAACCUAACCCUAACUUGAAAUUAUACAUACAAUUUUAAAAUUCCCUGACAUUUCCAGGUUUUCCAUGGCCAUAUAGUAGGAACCCCUCUAAAUCUAUAAAAGUACAGAACCUUGAAGCAUAACGAGUUAUCGGGAGAUUUUAAAUAGUGGUUCAGGAAUAUAAACUCACAGGGUAAAACAGGUCAGUCAGGAAAGUUACUGGUGAUCUGAGGCAUGUUAAUUCAUUAAUUCAUUUACUUAAAACAUUAUGGCAGAUUAGCUACAACAAUAAAAGACUGAGGGGAUCUCCCUCAGCCAGAUUCACACAAGAAAACAAAAGACUGAACAGAACAUUUAAUCAAUUACAACAUGUAUAAUUUUAGAUAUAUUUCCCCAUGAAUAACAGCUAAAAUCGAGUAGAGCACCUUUAAGUGAAAAGUAGUUAAUUAGUUACCCUACUUUUCACUUAAAGAUCCUUUAGCCAUUCUGGAACUUCUACGAGACUGAACCGUUGAAUAAGACACGCCCUCUCUGCGUCUCCGCGGAGUUGUCAAACACAACAGUAGCAAAAUGGCGCCCUCAGCUGACAUGAAUCAGAGUAUGAUAUUUAAUCUGAAUGAGUUUUGCUGGCCCUCGCAAUACGUUUUGCUGGCCCCUCGCAAUAGUUUGCUGGCCCUCGCAAUAGUUUGCUGGCCCUCGCAAUAGGUUUUACUGGCCCCUCGCAAUAGGUUUUGCUGGCCCUCGCAAUAGGUUUUGCUGGCCCUCGCAAUAGGUUUUGCUGGCCCUCGCAAUAGGUUCUGCUGGCCCUCGCAAUACGUUCUGCUGGCCCUCGCAAUACGUUCUGCUUGCCCUCGCAAUACGUUCUGCUGGCCCUCGCAAUACGUUCUGCUGGCCCUCGCAAUACGUUCUGCUGGCCCUCGCAAUACGUUCUGCUGGCCCUCGCAAUACGUUCUGCUGGCCCCUCGCAAUAGGUUUUGCUGGCCCUCGCAAUAGGUUUUGCUGGCCCUCGCAAUAGGUUGCUGGCCCUCGCAAUAGGUUCUGCUUGCCCUCGCAAUAGGUUUUGCUGGCCCUCGCAAUAGUUUGCUGGCCCUCGCAAUAGGUUUUGCUGGCCCUCGCAAUAGGUUCUGCUUGCCCUCGCAAUAGUUUCUGCUUGCCCUCGCAAUAGGUUUUGCUGGCCCUCGCAAUAGGUUUUGCUGGCCCUCGCAAUAGGUUUUGCUGGCCCUCGCAAUAGUUUGCUGGCCCUCGCAAUACGUUUUGCUUGCCCUCGCAAUAAAUUUACCAUGGUUUUAAAAAAAUAACCACAUUUUAACCUUGAUAUUCAUAGUAAAACCAUAAUACUAAUACAGGAAAACAAAAUCUAUGGUAAAAUAAAAAUCAUAAAUACAAUGGUAUUUGUAGUAAAACUAUAGUAACCAGAAGAUGUACUUUGAUCCACUUCAACUAUUACACAGAGAACGUGCAAAAUGAUUGACAGACAGAAAGCAAAUCAAAGUCUUCUGAUUGGCUGAUCGCGGUCAGGACACGUAUUUCUGUGAUAUAUUUUAGGGAUUAGGAACAUUUGGGAAUACCAUUACAUAAAAAUAAAAAAUAAACAUUUUGCAGCAAAAAAACACUAUGUAGCGAACGAAAGAUUGAUAAAGAUUAUGUGAAACUCAAAUGUUGUCAAUGUUGUUUAUUCGGCUAAUUCAUAGCCGUGGUCAUAUUUUUUAAAAAUGUAUUUAUUUAAUCAUUCUCACCUCAGAAAUCAGGAGUAGUGAAGUGCUAUAGCGGUCUAUCGAAAUAUAAAAACUUAUACUGAUAUUUUAUUUAAAUUCACUUCAACAUCUCAUUAGGAGAACAAAAAACUUAAUAUCUAAUUAAGUACAAAAAACACCGGACGUGUCUUUCAAAAAGCUCCUAGAUCACAUGUGAUUUUCCACAUUCAUGUUUUCUGGAGUUUCCUGUCUACUGAUUUUUUUUUGGAAAGAUGUUUCGUCAGCGGAACGAUCCACAAACACAAACUGUAGUCUUUCCCUCACAGCCUGUGUAAUUCCCUCUCAAAAAUCAAAGAUGGCGCUGAUGUCAAUAAGAGUCUCGUUAUGAACCAGCAAACGUCAUCAUUAAUGAACGACCUGGACACUUUGAUCUCAUUAAGAUCUUGUGUUUACAGAUUAACUCAUGUAACAAAGUUACACUAAACAAUAUGUUCUUAGAAAACGUUCAAUGUUAAAAACUGUUUUAAUUAACGUUGCUGUAUGUGACCCGCUUCUAAACAGGAGACUAUAAGCACAUUUACAAACACAAAACACACACACAUAUAACCUCACCUGACACUCGAGUCAAUGUUUUGUUUUGAUGAAAUUGAAAAAUGCUUGACGACAAAAGUUUCUGACAUCAUCGCCAGAAUUCUCCUCCUAUAAUGUUAAACCAAAUAUUAGUAAAUAAAUUUUUUGCACACAAAAUAAAUUCAGUCCAGCGGUCCAAAAGAUUUUAUUAAAAAAAAAAAAAAAAAAAAAUGAAA